rnacentral:pre_miRNA from 1 species
AUCUGUGGAUUUUGUUAAAAUGCAGAUUCUGAUUCAGCAGGUGCAUGGUGGCUCUGAGAUUCUGCACUUCUAACCAGUUCUCAGGAGAUGCUCCU